rnacentral:rRNA from 1 species
GGGACAUCGAGUGAUCCUCAUAUUGGGGGUCUGUCCCAUCGUSUAAAAWACGCGUGGUUAGCAAGGGCCGGGCAAGACCGGUGCCAGCCGCCGCGGUAAUACCGGCGGCYCGAGUGGUGRYCGWUAUUAUUGAGUCUAAAGGGUCCGUAGCCGGCUUKGCAAGUCYYYCGGGAAAUCCRRCGGCUUAACCGUUGGUCKUYCGGGGGGUACURCAUUGCUUGGGACYGGGAGAGGUARGAGGUACUCAGGGGGUAGGAGUGAAAUCYUGUAAUCCUYKGGGGACCACCGGUGGCGAAGGCGUCCUACCAGAACAGGUCCGACGGUGAGGGACGAAAGCUAGGGGCACGAACCGGAUUAUAUACCCGGGUAGUCCUAGCCGUAAACGAUGCUCGCUAGGUGUCACAGACUGUCGKGAACUGKYGUGGUGCCGUAGGGAAGCCGUGAAGCGAGCCACUUGGGAAGUACGACCGCAAGGUUGAAACUUAA